rnacentral:rRNA from 1 species
CUAAGGUGGGAGAUAACCCCGGGAAACUGGGGAUAAUACCCCAUAAUCUAUGGAAGCUGGAAUGCUCUAUAGUUGAAGGAUUUAUCGCCUUAGGAUGGGUCUGCGGCCGAUUAGGUAGUUGUUGGGGUAACGGCCCAACAAGCCUUUGAUCGGUACGGGUUGUGGGAGCAAGAGCCCGGAGAUGGAUUCUGAGACACGAAUCCAGGCCCUACGGGGCGCAGCAGGCGCGAAAACUUUACAAUGCGGGAAACCGUGAUAAGGGAACUCCGAGUGCCCGUAAACGCGGGCUGUCCAUCUGCUUAAAAAACAGGUGAAGAAAGGGCCGGGCAAGACCGGUGCCAGCCGCCGCGGUAAUACCGGCGGCUCGAGUGGUGGCCACUAUUACUGGGCUUAAAGCGUCCGUAGUUUGGUUGUUAAGUCUCUUGGGAAAUCUGUCGGCUUAACCGACAGGCGUUUAAGGGAUACUGGCAAUCUAGGGACCGGGAGAGGUGAGAGGUACUUCAGGGGUAGGAGUGAAAUCCUGUAAUCCUUGGGGGACCACCUGUGGCGUAGGCGUCUCACCAGAACGGCUCCGACAGUGAGGGACGAAAGCUGGGGGAGCAAACCGGAUUAGAUACCCGGGUAGUCCCAGCCGUAAACGAUGCGCGUUAGGUGUAUCGGUGACCACGAGUCACCGAGGUGCCGAAGGGAAACCGUGAAACGUGCCGCCUGGGAAGUACGGUCGCAAGGCUGAAACUUAAAGGAAUUGGCGGGGGAGCACCACAACAGGUGGAGCCUGCGGUUUAAUCGGACUCAACGCCGGAAACCUCACCGGAUAAGACAGCGGGAUGAUAGCCAGGCUGAAGACUUUGCUUGACUAGCUGAGAGGAGGUGCAUGG